rnacentral:rRNA from 1 species
AGGGCACCACCAGGAGUGGAGCCUGCGGCUUAAUUUGACUCAACACGGGGAAACUCACCCGGCCCGGACACCGUAAGGAUUGACAGAUUGAUAGCUUUUUCAUGAUUCGGUGGAUGGUGGUGCAUGGCCGUUCUUAGUUCGUGGAGCGAUUUGUCUGGUUUAUUCCGAUAACGAGCGAGACUCUGGCCUACUAAAUAGUUGGCGCAUUGCUACUGUGCGCACAACACUUCUUAGAGGGAUUUUCGGUGUUCAGCCGCACGAAAUUGAGCAAUAACAGGUCUGUGAUGCCCUUAGAUGUCCGGGGCUGCACGCGCGCUACACUGGCAAAAUCAGCGUGCUUGUCCUUCCCCGAAAGGGGUUGGUAAACCCGUGAAAAUUUGCCGUGAUUGGGAUCGGACAUUGCAAUUAUUGUCCGUGAACGAGGAAUUCCUUGUAGGGGCGAGUCAUCAACUCGCUCUGAAUACGUCCCUGCCCUUUGUACACACCGCCCGUCGCUGCCCGGGACUGAGCCAUUUCGGG